GGCCGCGGGAAUUCGAUUCAGGCCUAACACAUGCAAGUCGAGCGAUGCGAUCCUUAAAAAACAAUUAGCGGCGGACGGGUGAGUAACACGUGGGUAACCUGCCUCAAAGAGGGGAAUAGCCUCCCGAAAGGGAGAUUAAUACCGCAUAAUAUGUUUUGAUCGCAUGAUCAAAACAUCAAAGGAUUCUCUUCGGAGAUUCCACUUUGAGAUGGACCCGCGGCGCAUUAGCUAGUUGGUGAGGUAACGGCUCACCAAGGCAACGAUGCGUAGCCGACCUGAGAGGGUGAUCGGCCACAUUGGAACUGAGACACGGUCCAGACUCCUACGGGAGGCAGCAGUGGGGAAU
rnacentral:rRNA from 1 species